GGAAAAGUCGUAACAAGGUCUCCGUUGGUGAACCAGCGGAGGGAUCAUUACAGGAUCGAAAGACUCCUAUAACCCCUGUGAACUUACUACAAAUACGUUGCUUCGGCGGGUGCCCCGGGUCUCCCGGGGCGUUCAGCCCGCCGGCAGCCUUCAAAUUCUGUUUCUUUGCGUUGGCAUCUCGAGUAUACAAAAAUAAGUUAAAACUUUCAACAACGGAUCUCUUGGUUCUG
rnacentral:misc_RNA from 1 species